GACGAACGCUGGCGGCGUGCUUAACACAUGCAAGUCGAACGGUAAGGCCCUUCGGGGUACACGAGUGGCGAACGGGUGAGUAACACGUGGGUGAUCUGCCCUGCACUUCGGGAUAAGCCUGGGAAACUGGGUCUAAUACCGGAUAGGACCACUGCCUGCAUGGGUGGUGGUGGAAAGCUUUUGCGGUGUGGGAUGGGCCCGCGGCCUAUCAGCUUGUUGGUGGGGUGAUGGCCUACCAAGGCGACGACGGGUAGCCGGCCUGAGAGGGUGACCGGCCAACCUGGGACUGAGAUACUGCCCAGACUCCUACGGGAGGCAGCAGUGGGGAAUAUUGCACAAUGGGCGCAAGCCUGAUGCAGCGACGCCGCGUGAGGGAUGACGGCCUUCGGGUUGUAAACCUCUUUCAGCACCGACGAAGCGCAAGUGACGGUAGGUGCAGAAGAAGGACCGGCCAACUACGUGCCAGCAGCCGCGGUAA
rnacentral:rRNA from 1 species